UACAGAGGGUGCGAGCGUUGUCCGGAAUCACUGGGCGUAAAGGGCGCGUAGGUGGCUGGGUAAGCGUGCGGUGAAAGCCUGGGGCUCAACUCCAGGUCGGCCGUGCGUACUGCCUAGCUUGAGCACGGUAGAGGCCGAUGGAAUUCCGGGUGUAGCGGUGGAAUGCGUAGAGAUCCGGAAGAACACCGGUGGCGAAGGCGGUCUGCUGGGCCGUUGCUGACGCUGAGGCGCGACAGCGUGGGGAGCAAACAGG
rnacentral:rRNA from 1 species